rnacentral:rRNA from 1 species
AUUGAACGCUGGCGGCAGGCCUAACACAUGCAAGUCGAACGGUAGCACAGAGAGCUUGCUCUUGGGUGACGAGUGGCGGACGGGUGAGUAAUGUCUGGGAAACUGCCCGAUGGAGGGGGAUAACUACUGGAAACGGUAGCUAAUACCGCAUAACGUCUUCGGACCAAAGUGGGGGACCUUCGGGCCUCACACCAUCGGAUGUGCCCAGAUGGGAUUAGCUAGUAGGUGAGGUAAUGGCUCACCUAGGCGACGAUCCCUAGCUGGUCUGAGAGGAUGACCAGCCACACUGGAACUGAGACACGGUCCAGACUCCGACGGAAGGCAGCAGUGGGGAAUAUUGCACAAUGGGCGCAAGCCUGAUGCAGCCAUGCCGCGUGUAUGAAGAAGGCCUUCGGGUUGUAAAGUACUUUCAGCGGGGAGGAAGGCGUUAAGGUUAAUAACCUUGGCGAUUGACGUUACCCGCAGAAGAAGCACCGGCUAACUCCGUGCCAGCCGCCGCCGUAA